UACGUAGGGUGCAAGCGUUGUCCGGAAUUAUUGGGCGUAAAGGGCUCGUAGGCGGUCCAUCGCGUCGGGAGUGAAAAGCUGGGGCUUAACCCCAGUCCUGCUUCCGAUACGGGUGGACUAGAGGUAGGCAGGGGAGAACGGAAUUCCUGGUGUAGCGGUGAAAUGCGCAGAUAUCAGGAGGAACACCGGUGGCGAAGGCGGCAUCCUGGACCGGCAUUGACGCUGAGGAGCGAAAGCUAGGGGAGCAAACGGG
rnacentral:rRNA from 1 species